UAAGGAAUAUUGGUCAAUGGACGCAAGUCUGAACCAGCCAUGCCGCGUGAAGGAUGAAGGUCCUCUGGAUUGUAAACUUCUUUUAUCUGGGACGAAACACUCCUAUUCUUAGGGGCCUGACGGUACCAGAUGAAUAAGCACCGGCUAACUCCGUGCCAGCAGCCGCGGUAAUACGGAGGGUGCAAGCGUUAUCCGGAUUCACUGGGUUUAAAGGGUGCGUAGGUGGGUAUGUAAGUCAGUGGUGAAAUCCCCGAGCUUAACCUGGGAACUGCCGUUGAUACUAUAUAUCUUGAAUGUCGUAGAGGUAAGCGGAAUAUGUCAUGUAGCGGUGAAAUGCUUAGAGACGACAUAGAACACCAAUUGCGAAGGCAGCUUGCUAUGCGAUUAUUGACACUGAGGCACGAAAGCGUGGGUAGCAAACA
rnacentral:rRNA from 1 species